rnacentral:rRNA from 1 species
AUUGAACGCUGGCGGCAUGCCUUACACAUGCAAGUCGAACGGUAACAGGUCUUCGGAUGCUGACGAGUGGCGAACGGGUGAGUAAUACAUCGGAACGUGCCUAGUAGUGGGGGAUAACUACUCGAAAGAGUGGCUAAUACCGCAUGAGAUCUACGGAUGAAAGCAGGGGAUCGCAAGACCUUGUGCUACUAGAGCGGCCGAUGGCAGAUUAGGUAGUUGGUGGGAUAAAAGCUUACCAAGCCGACGAUCCGUAGCUGGUCUGAGAGGACGAUCAGCCACACUGGGACGGAGACACGGCCCAGACUCCUACGGGAGUCAGCAGUGGGGAAUUUUGGACAAUGGGCGAAAGCCUGAUCCAGCAAUGCCGCGUGCAGGAUGAAGGCCUUCGGGUUGUAAACUGCUUUUGUACGGAACGAAAAGCCCUGGGUUAAUACCCUGGGGUCAUGACGGUACCGUAAGAAUAAGCACCGGCUAACUACGUGCCAGCCGCCGCAGUAA